rnacentral:rRNA from 1 species
CUCCGGGCGGUACAGGAUGGGCCCGCGUCUGAUUAGCUGGUUGGCGGGGCAGCGGCCCACCAAGGCAACGAUCAGUAGCCGGCCUGAGAGGGUGGACGGCCACAUUGGGACUGAGACACGGCCCAGACUCCUACGGGAGGCAGCAGUGGGGAAUAUUGCACAAUGGGGGAAACCCUGAUGCAGCGACGCCGCGUGAGCGAAGAAGUAUUUCGGUAUGUAAAGCUCUAUCAGCAGGGAAGAAAAUGACGGUACCUGAGUAAGAAGCUCCGGCUAAAUACGUGCCAGCAGCCGCGGUAAUACGUAUGGAGCAAGCGUUAUCCGGAUUUACUGGGUGUAAAGGGAGCGCAGGCGGCCUUGCAAGUCUGAUGUGAAAUACCGGGGCUCAACCCCGGAGCUGCAUUGGAAACUGUGAGGCUGGAGUGUCGGAGAGGCAGGCGGAAUUCCUAGUGUAGCGGUGAAAUGCGUAGAUAUUAGGAGGAACACCAGUGGCGAAGGCGGCCUGCUGGACGAUGACUGACGCUGAGGCUCGAAAGCGUGGGGAGCCUUAAAAAGAAUGGNUNCCCCUGNUNGUCCNCGCCGUNNNCGACCCCUAAAGGGUGUCGGGGAGCAAAGCUCUUCGGUACCGCAGCAUACGCAGUAUGUAUUCCACCUGGGGAGUACGUUCGCAAGAAUGAAACUCAAAGGAAUUGACGGGGACCCGCACAAGCGGUGGAGCAUGUGGUUUAAUUUGAAGCAACGCGAAGAACCUUACCAAGCCUUGACAUCCUGAUGACAGCAUAUGUAAAAAAUGUUCCCUUCGGGGCAACAGAGACAGGUGGUGCAUGGUUGUCGUCAGCUCGUGUCGUGAGAUGUUGGGUUAAGUCCCGCAACGAGCGCAACCCUUAUUCUUAGUAGCCAGCAGGGAAAGCUGGGCACUCUAGGGAGACUGCCGGGGACAACCCGGAGGAAGGCGGGGAUGACGUCAAAUCAUCAUGCCCCUUAUGGCUUGGGCUACACACGUGCUACAAUGGAAAAACAAAGGGAAGCGAAGCGGCGACGUGGAGCGAAUCC